rnacentral:rRNA from 1 species
GACGGAGGAUGCAAGCGUUUAUCCGGAAUGAUUGGGCGUAAAGCGUCCGCAGGUGGCAGUUCAAGUCUGCUGUCAAAGACCGGGGCUUAACUUCGGAAAGGCAGUGGAAACUGAACAGCUAGAGUAUGGUAGGGGCAGAGGGAAUUCCUGGUGUAGCGGUGAAAUGCGUAGAGAUCAGGAAGAACACCGGUGGCGAAGGCGCUCUGCUAGGCCGCAACUGACACUGAGGGACGAAAGCUAGGGGAGCGAAUGGG